rnacentral:lncRNA from 1 species
GAAUCAUCUCUGAAGGAAAAGCUUCGAGGGUAAACUCGAUUUCGCGUGCUGAUAUUGUUAGGGAGAUAUGCAGGAGCAAAGUCCGGUUCAUUCCAAUUUCUGGAUGCAAAUCGGUGUCUUCCAUUGCUCAUAGUGAAUCAGAAGGAAACGAAUGAAGUUGAUAUUUUUCCAGAAGAAAAUGCAGCUGCUCACGUUUAAUCCUUUGAAUUGAAAUGAAGGGCUGUCUUGGUUCAGUGAGGUUCUUAUAUGUUUUAUUUCUUUACUGUUUAAAGAUCAUUUAGUGUUGAGUGAAUAUAUCCUUCUAAUUUUUAUGGUGUGAUGUAAAGUAUAUUUUGUCCUCUGAAUAGAUGCUUUGGUUUGGAAGCUGAUGCUCAAAGCCUAAAGGGUAGUACAAUAGUAAUGAAGCAAGGAAUAAGAUUCUAACCACUUGGCAUAUUUAUCUUCACUUAAAAGAUAUGUGUGUGUGUGUGUGUAUCUAUAUAUAUAUAUAUAUUCUCUAGUUGAAUGCUCUUCCUGAGAUUCAAGGGUUGCCUUCGCUUCUACGUGGCAUAUAUAAUUUGCUUGAAAUUGAAUUUUCUUUUCUAUAUGUAAUUGUGUAUAUAUAUAUACACACACAUAUCAACGUAUAUAUCAAGGAAAAACUAUACAUGUUUGGGGAGGCUUUGCUUACCCAUUGACAUAAAGGGCCUCGGUUCAUGCACUGACACUUGGCUUCAUUAGAAUGUUGCCACGCUUCUCUUUUAUACUGCAUAUCCUCCCUCCAUGCAUAGAUACACACAUAUAUAUAUGUAUAUAUAUAGGGAGAUAGUAAACUGAAGCUUUUCUAGAUCUCAAAAAUUUGACAAUAAUAAUAAACCACAAGUUGCUCGCAGCAAACAAUCUAUCCAGUCUCAGUCUUUUCUUAAUUAAUUCAUUCAAUUGAGAAAAGUUCCUUGAAACAUUUCUAAAAUAAAUUGCAUUUGUUCAGGUUGAAAUGAACAUUA